rnacentral:lncRNA from 1 species
AAUUGGAGAAUCAAACGGGGAUUUCUUCGGACCCCAAAUCAAAUCCAAAUUAGAGAAUCAAACGGGGAUUUCUUCGGACCCCAAAUCAGAACCAAACGGGGAUUUCUUCGGACCCCAAAUCAAAUUGAAAAAUUAAAUCCAAAUUGGAGAAUCGAACGGGGAUUUCUUCGGACCCCAAAUCAAAUCAAAUUGGAAAAUCAAAUCCAAAUCAAACCAAAAUAAAACGGAAAUUUCUUCGGACCCCAAAUCAAAUCCAAUUGGAGAAUCAAACGGAGAUUUCUUCGGACCCGAAAUCCAAAUCGAGAUCAAAAGGGGAUUUCUUCGAACCCCAAAUCAAACCAAAAUCAAAAGGGGAUUUCUUCGGAUCCGAACCAAAUUGCAAAAAUCAAAAGUGGAUUGCCCCGAACCCGAAAUAAAAUCCGAUACAGUCCACAAAUAAACCUAAACCCAAAACCCAAACAAACCCAAACCCAAAACCCAAAUUAAAUCUGAACCCAAACCCAAAUCAAGUCUAAAUCCAAACCUAACCAAACCAAGUCCACAAAUAAACCCUAACUUGAACCCAAAUAAACCCAAACCCAAACCAAACCUAGUCUACAAAUAAACCCAAACUUGAACCCAAACCCAAAUCCAAACCAAACCUAGUCUACAAAUAAACCCAAACUUGAACCCAAAUCCAAACCCAAACCCAAACCUAGUCUGCAAAUAAACCCAAACUUGAACCCAAACCAAACCCAAAACCCAAAUAAACCCAAACCAAACCAAGUCCACAUAAAGAACCCAAACCCAUUCCAUAAAUAAACCCAAGCCCAAACCAAAUCAAGUUCACAAAUAAAGCCCGAAACCAAAACCCAAAUAAAAUUCGAACCCAAACCAAACCAAAACCAAAUUAAGUCCACAACCCAAGUCCACAACCCAAAUCCAAAACCCAAAUAAAAUCCAAACCUAAAACCAAACCAAGUCCACAUAAAGAACCCAAACCCAACUCAAAUCAAGUCCACAACCCAAAUCCAAAACCCAAAUAAAAUCCAAGCCAAAAUCCAAACCAAUCCCACAUAAAGAACCCAAACCCAACUCAAAUCAAGUCCACAAUCCAAAUCCAAAUCCAAAACUCAAAGAAAAAGGGGAGG